UAAUACGUAGGGCGCAAGCGUUGUCCGGAAUUAUUGGGCGUAAAGAGCUCGUAGGUGGCUUGUCGCGUCUGCCGUGAAAGCCCAUGGCUUAACUGUGGGUCUGCGGUGGAUACGGGCUGGCUAGAGGUAGGUAGGGGCAAGCGGAAUUCCUGGUGUAGCGGUGAAAUGCGCAGAUAUCAGGAGGAACACCGGUGGCGAAGGCGGCUUGCUGGGCCUUACCUGACGCUGAGGAGCGAAAGCGUGGGGAGCGAACAGGAUUAGAUACCCUGGUAGUCCACGCUGUAAACGUUGGGCGCUAGGUGUGGGGUCCUUCCACGGAUUCCGUGCCGUAGCUAACGCAUUAAGCGCCCCGCCUGGGGAGUACGGCCGCAAGGCUA
rnacentral:rRNA from 1 species